rnacentral:lncRNA from 1 species
UUAGUUUUCUUCCAUUAAAAAAAAUAAAAGUUGCAGUAAACUAAGAAACACUUCUUUGCUUUCACACACAAAAACUUCACUUCACCAACAAAGAACCAUACACACACCUCAUGCUCUUUUCUUUCUAACAUAAACAACUUCAUACACACAUGAAAAGAAAACCACCAUCAAACACUUAUCAUAUUCAUCUCUCCCUCUCCAUGGCCAACACAACAUAAACCUUCUACCAUCAUCGUCAUCCCAUCUUCAUGAAGCUUUCUUCUUUUUUGUUUUGAAAAAAAUCGGACUCCUCCACCGCGACCAUCGGAUCCGGAAAACCACAACCACCAUGCUCUCCUUCGGAAGCCAAACCGUUCUCGCUGCCAUUGUCGGAGGACCGCCGUCCCCGACCACGCGCAAACCACAGCUGCACACCGUCGGUAACGCUUACUUUUCCUUGUCUCCAUUGUCUUUUCUUUAUUGUCUUGUUUUUAUCCACGGUUGUCGAUUGAUUUGAGAUGAAGAGAUUUCUUGUUGUAUUCCUUAUAAGUGAGAAAGAAAAAUUGAUAUUUUAAAAAGAAAGAGAAGUCACGUUUUAUUACCUUAGAAUAUAUUGUCUUAUUAUUAACUAGGUACUGCUUGAUCUCAUAUUAAAUUGGUUGUUGUGUACUGAUCCAUUAUUGCCAUUUAUUUAAAAAUACUAUUAUUAUAAUUAUUAUUAUAUUGUUUAUUAUUAUUAUUAUUAUUAUUGUUACUAUU